rnacentral:rRNA from 1 species
UACGGAGGGGGCAAGCGUUAUCCGGAUUUACUGGGUGUAAAGGGAGCGUAGACGGUGAUGCAAGUCAGAAGUGAAAGCCCGGGGCUCAACUCCGGGACUGCUUUUGAAACUGUGUGACUGGAGUGCAGGAGAGGUAAGCGGAAUUCCUGGUGUAGCGGUGAAAUGCGUAGAUAUUAGGAAGAACACCAGUGGCGAAGGCGGCUUGCUGGACAGUAACUGACGCUGAGGCACGAAGGCCAGGGGAGCGAAAGGG